rnacentral:rRNA from 1 species
UUACUGGGCGUNAAGCGCACGUAGGCUGUAUAUCAAGUCAAGGGUGAAAUCCCCGGGCUCAACCUGGGAACUGCCUUUGAAACUGGUAAACUGGAGUAUGUGAGAGGGUGGCGGAAUUCCUGGUGUAGGAGUGAAAUCCGUAGAUAUCAGGAGGAACAUCAGUGGCGAAGGCGGCCACCUGGCACAAAACUGACGCUGAGGUGCGAAAGCGUGGGUAGCAAACAGGAUUAGAUACCCUGGUAGUCCACGCUGUAAACGAUGGAUACUGGGUGUUGGGAUGUAUGUCUCGGCGCCGUAGCUAACGCGUUAAGUAUCCCGCCUGGGGAGUACGGUCGCAAGGCUGAAACUCAAAGAAAUUGACGGGGGCCCGCACAAGCGGUGGAGUAUGUGGUUUAAUUCGAUGCAACGCGAAGAACCUUACCCAGGCUUGACAUCUAGGGAGCCUCUUUGAAAGAAGAGGGUGCUCUUCGGAGAACCCUAAGACAGGUGCUGCAUGGCUGUCGUCAGCUCGUGCCGUGGGGUGUUGGGUUAAGUCCCGCAACGAGCGCAACCCCUGUCCUUAGUUGCCAUCGAGUAAGGUCGGGCACUCUAAGGAGACCGCCCCGGUUAACGGGGAGGAAGGUGGGGACGACGUCAAGUCAUCAUGGCCCUUACGCCUGGGGCUACACACGUACUACAAUGGCGCAUACAAAGGAAGCGAGACCGCGAGGUGGAGCCAAUCUCAAAAAAUGCGUCCCAGUCCGGAUUGGAGUCUGCAACUCGACUCCAUGAAGUCGGAAUCGCUAGUAAUUCUGGAUCAGCAUGCCAGGGUGAAUGCGUUCCCGGGCCUUGUACACACCGCCCGUCACACCACGAAAGUCGGUUUUACCCGAAGCCGGUGAGCCAACAAGCAAUUGAGGCAUCCGUCUACGGUAGGCCCGAUGAUUGGGGUGAAGUCGUAACAAGGUAGCAAUCACUAGUGAAUUCGCGGCCGCCUGCAGGUCGACCAUANGGGAGAGCUCCCNACG